ACCGGCACAGGGGACACCCCCAAACACGGGGACACCCCUAAACAACGGAACACGGGACAUCCCAAAGGGAGGUGACACCCCCAAGCACCGGCAAAAGGGACAGGGGACACUCCCGGAGAAAGGUGACACCGUGAAACAUCGGCAGAGGAGACACCCCCCGCCCCGGGAACGCUCGGUGAGGCGCGGGGAUGACACGGCCCCGCGGGAGGGGGACACACCGGCUGUGCACCGCGCAAUGGGAUCCCCCGGGGGGGGAUCUCUCUUGGAAUCCUGACACGUGCAGCCUCCCAUUGCAAUGUACUCCUGUGGAAAGCAGGAGUAAAACAGCACUAAUUUCAGCACAUUACACGUCUGCAGGUGUUGUUUCCACUUUAAUGAGACAUAAUUUUCAAGGAAAUCUGCUCCUGGCUACCCAUGGCAACUCCUGAAUCACAGAGGAUUAUGGAAAAAACCUCAGGCUGGCAUCCCUUACCUUCAAAAAGCUCUGAGAAGUCUCAAUCAGGGGCAGUUUGAUGGUGAAAUUGUAGAAUGAGUGAUUUUACUGAGCAGAACCUGAUGUGCCUUUUCUUGCUGACUUCCUAGAUGUGUUGUUGCAACUUUAAAAUUGCUUUAAAAUGCUGAUUUGUAACAAUUCCAUGAAUAAAGCAUCAGGUGAGCACAGCAGAGACACUCAGUGCUGUGGGUUGUCACACAUGCUUGUAAUCAGCUUGAAACUUGCUCUGAGCAGGUCAUGGGCUUUGCACAGGAGGGAAAAUGGGUCUAAACUACACAAAUUCAUGGCAGGAAGAUGGUAAAAUUAAGAAUGGUGUGUGUGUCCUCACUGUGCUUCAGAAAUAAACCAACUGUCUUUAAACCUGCUCUGUGUGAGCUGGAAAUAGAUAAAGAAAUAAAAAAUAAAAA